UGCAAGUCGAACGAAGUAGCAAUACUUAGUGGCAGACGGGUGAGUAACAUGUGGGUAUCUGCCCUUUGGCCUGGAAUAACACGAGGAAACUUGUGCUAAUACCGGAUAAGUCUUUACGGAGAAAGCUUUAUGCACCAUUGGAUGAGCCCGCACUUGAUUAGUUUGUUGGUGGGGUAAUGGCCUACCAAGACUGUGAUCAAUAGCUGAUUUGAGAGGAUGAUCAGCCACNUUGGGACUGANACACGGCCCAAACUCCUACGGGAGGCAGCAGUGGGGAAUCUUGCACAAUGGAGGAAACUCUGAUGCAGCGAUGCCGCGUGAGUGAAGAAGGCCCUUGGGUUGUAAAGCUCUUUCGUCGGGGAAGAAAAUGACUGUACCCGAAUAAGAAGGUCCGGCUAACUUCGUGCCAGCAGCCGCGGUAAUACGAAGGGACCUAGCGUA
rnacentral:rRNA from 1 species